rnacentral:rRNA from 1 species
UACGGGGGGGGCAAGCGUUGUUCGGAAUUACUGGGCGUAAAGGGCGCGUAGGCGGCCAUCUAAGUCAGACGUGAAAUCCCUCGGCUCAACCGAGGAACUGCGUCUGAUACUGGAAGGCUUUGAAUCCGGGAGAGGGAUGUGGAAUUCCAGGUGUAGCGGUGAAAUGCGUAGAUAUCUGGAGGAACACCGGUGGCGAAGGCGGCAUCCUGGACCGGUAU